UGAUUAACUUUAAAUCAUAUACAUGCAUACUACUUUAAUCAAGUCCUUUUACAUUCUUUUUCAUCAUAUCUUUUUACAUCUCAUUCUCUAAAAUACAACUUUUGACAUUGGAAAUAAAUAUCUUUUACAUCAUUCUCUUAAGCAUCUAAAAUCAUCAAAUACAAAAGAUGAUACUAAAGGAAAUGCAACUACAAAAUAUGAAACCAUCUCGGAUGGUCUCUA
rnacentral:lncRNA from 1 species